rnacentral:lncRNA from 1 species
GGCAACUGCUAGGCUUUCUCACGCAGACACCAUCAACCAACACACUCUGCACCGCAUGGGAUUCACUAGAAUUGAUGGUGGUUGGAUCAAAGGUACAGAAGAAAGAGCUGAGGAGAGAGCUGAAGAUAGAAUUGAGGACAAAGCUGAGGAAGAAGGUCUCUCAUCACCUCUCCAUGACUUCAGGGCAGCAUCUCCAGAUAUCCAGUUUGUUUCAGACCUAGAGGCUGGCCCUUCAGAGUUCACCAGGAGGCACACACCAGUUCAGCAGC